rfam:Coprococcus catus GD/7 draft genome.
AAUAUCAGAGCAAAACUGCCAAAGACAGUAGGUGCCGUAAGGCAUAAGGAGAAAACGCCUACCGAGGGAGAUUAUAGGUGUUCUUUAUGAACUCGACUUAUAUCAAGACCUCUCUGGGCAGCCGGAGAGGUCUUUUUUUGGCGGU